GGAAUCGUGCCCGAACGCCAAAGGACCACUUUGAUAGAGUGUAUUAUGGGGGUUAAAGUCCCCUCGCUUCCU
rnacentral:tRNA from 1 species